rnacentral:tRNA from 1 species
UGAGGAUUGGCCGAGCGGCUUAGGCAACGGACUUUGACUCCGUAGAGACUGGUUCGACUCCAGUAUCCUCUUCCA